rnacentral:ncRNA from 14 species
GGAGAUGAAGAGAAAGCACCUCCACUGAUUGAUGAUGAAACGCCCACGGUCGGAUU